UACGAGGGGGGCAAGCGUUGUUCGGAAUUAUUGGGCGUAAAGGGUGCGUAGGCGGUUUUGUAAGUCUUGUGUGAAAUCUUCAGGCUCAACUUGAAGACUGCACGAGAAACUGCAGGGCUUGAGUGUGGGAGAGGUGAGUGGAAUUCCUGGUGUAGCGGUGAAAUGCGUAGAGAUCAUGAGGAAGACCAGUGGCGAAGGCGGGUCUCUGGACAGUUCCUGACACUGAGACACGAAGGCCAGGGGAGCAAACGGG
rnacentral:rRNA from 1 species